rnacentral:misc_RNA from 1 species
GAAACCAGUUAGUGUGGACACGCCUUUACUUGUCAUUGCACCAUGAAUCACUUCCCAGGAUCAUUAUACUCGGUAGCAGCCAGUAUUUGCAGACGAGUAACUUCAGAAUUUGCAAUAUCACUCGAUUUAUUACUUUGUAAUAUUUUUAAAAGAAUAGUUUUCCUAUCUUCGUCCGGGGAAAGCUCUAAUUAUACUUUUAUAAUUGCGUUUGAUAAGCCUCUAGGCAUUAGAAAUGUAGGAGAUGAGUAAUUUUUAAGAAGUCAAAAGUGUCAAAUUUUUAAGACAUUUUUGGAGUGAAUUUUGAAGCCUACCCCAGACACAAAAGCAAAAAAUUUUGUUGCUGAUUGGUUUGGAUCAUGUAAUAGAAACCACUAUGAAGAGCAUUCAGUAUCACGCAUUUAACAAUUAGAUGAAGAAUAUGGAAUGUUUUCAUUAAAUUAUAAAGGGAAGGGCUUAUGCGAAUACGACUGAUUUGCAUAUUCUCUUGUUCAGAAUUCAAAUACAUAAAUAUUUUCUCGUCUUAGGACAAACAUGUGAACUUUUAUAAUGGGGAACCAAAGCAAAACUAUGAAAUGGAGAGAUUAUAGAAUCCAUUAUCAAUUAGAGGGAUCGCACAUUAUUUUAUUGAUUAAUCAAAAUAAAAUAUGCCUUCAUUUUUCAAUAAAAAAUGAAAUGUCAAUAGCCUAGAAAAAUAACUUAAAAUAUUGUUUGGUACAAAUGUUAAAAAAAAAAA